UACGUAGGGUGCAAGCGUUUAAUCGGAAUUACUGGGCGUAAAGCGUGCGCAGGCGGUGAUGUAAGACAGAUGUGAAAUCCCCGGGCUCAACCUGGGAACUGCAUUUGUGACUGCAUCGCUGGAGUGCGGCAGAGGGGGAUGGAAUUCCGCGUGUAGCAGUGAAAUGCGUAGAUAUGCGGAGGAACACCGAUGGCGAAGGCAAUCCCCUGGGCCUGCACUGACGCUCAUGCACGAAAGCGUGGGGAGCAAACAGGA
rnacentral:rRNA from 1 species